rnacentral:miRNA from 1 species
CUAUCUUCCCUUCUCCUCUCUUAAUUUUUUUCUGUCCUCUCCAUACAUACAUACAUAUAUAUAUGUGUGUGUGUGUGUGUAUAACAACAGACUUAAAAAUAGU